GAUGAACGCUGGCGGCGUGCUUAACACAUGCAAGUCGAGCGGAGUUUGUUGUGGAAGCCCCUUCGGGGGCGGAAGCUUCAAACUUAGCGGCGGACGGGUGCGUAACGCGUGGGUAAUCUGCCCUUAUCUUCGGAAUAACACAUUGAAAAAUGUGCUAAUACCGAAUAACAUGCAACUUCGGCAUCGGAGAUGCAUCAAAGCAUAUGCGGAUAAGGAUGAGCCUGCGUCUGAUUAGCUAGUUGGUGGGGUAAUGGCCUACCAAGGCUGCGAUCAGUAGCCGACCUGAGAGGGUGAUCGGCCACACUGGAACUGAGACACGGUCCAGACUCCUACGGGAGGCAGCAGUGGGGAAUAUUGCACAAUGGGCGAAAGCCUGAUGCAGCAACGCCGCGUGAGCGAUGAAGGUCUUCGGAUCGUAAAGCUCUGUCGCAUGGGAAGAUAAUGACGGUACCAUGUGAGGAAGCCCCGGCUAAC
rnacentral:rRNA from 1 species